GCAAGUCGAACGAGGUAGUAAUAUCUAAGUGGCAAACGGGUGAGUAACACGUAGUUUACCUGCCCUGAAGUGGGGGAUAACGUCUCGAAAGAGACGCUAAUACCGCAUAAGCUCACGAUCUAUAGAGGGUUGUGAGAAAAGGAGAAAUCCGCUUUGGGAGGGGACUGCGGCCUAUCAGCUAGAUGGUGAGGUAAUAGCUUACCAUGGCAACGACGGGUAGGGGGCCUGAGAGGGUAGACCCCCACACUGGGACUGAGAAACGGCCCAGACUCCUACGGGAGGCAGCAGUGAGGGAUAUUGCACAAUGGGCGAAAGCCUGGUGCAGCGACGCCGCGUGGGAGAAGAAGGCCUUCGGGUUGUAAAUCCCUUUUUUGCGUGACGAGAAAAAGGACGGUAGCGCAAGAAUAAGUCUCGGCUAACUACGUGCCAGCAGCCGCGGUAAAACGUAGGAGACAAACGUUAUCCGGAGUUACUGGGCGUAAAGGGCGUGCAGGUGGUUACUUAAGUCUGAUGUGAAAUCUCUCUGCUCAACGGAGAGGGUGCGUUGGAUACUGGGUGACUUGAGGACGGUAGGGGUGGAUGGAAUUCCGGGUGUAGUGGUGAAAUGCGUAGAUAUCCGGAGGAACACCAGUGGCGAAGGCGAUCCACUAGGCCGUACCUGACACUAAGACGCGACAGCAUGGGGAGCGAACGGGAUUAGAAACCCCGGUAGUCCAUGCCGUAAACGAUGUCAGCUAGGCGUUCAGUUCUCGAAAGGGAACGGGGUGCCGCAGCAAACGCGAUAAGCUGACCGCC
rnacentral:rRNA from 1 species